rnacentral:lncRNA from 1 species
GCAGUAUUUGGGUUGCCGGGAGGCAGUGGGGUGAGCGGCUCCCAACGUCACAAGCUUGCAAGAUGGCGCUGGGAGGAAGGCUGUGAGAUGAGGAACAGGCUGGUAUAAACCGAGAGGACAGGAGAGGGAGAGGAGGAGAGGGGAAAGGGAAGAAAAGCUGCUGCUCCAGAUGCAAUAAGAAGCGUCCCUGCUGGUUCUCCAUUCUGCAUCCGUGCAGCCACGUUCUAUUGAUGGCCUGUUGUGAUUUCAAUGGAACAUCAUGGGAUGUACCUGGCACGUCGGGCAGCACUGGAUGGAGGUGCCUUUAGCCCAAUGUACCUGGCAUGUACUGUUAACUCACUGUUCAGGUGCUUGGUGUCUAGCCUUCUCAUCCAGCCACAAAUCCUCUACGUGAAAUGAGUGAUUCCUUAGAUCUGUUUAUGAUUGAUUCUUUGCUUCACUGGUGUUGCUUCUUAAAAGGUAAACAAUAUUCAUGUGCUGCAAUCUAUAACUCAGAGAUGAAAUCAAAGAGCAUCUCCU